UGGGUCAUGGGUCUGGGUAUGGUCGGAAGCCGGGGUAUGAACAGCCCGGUUCGGAAUACGGUUCUGGGUAUCGACGGAGACCAGAGUCCGAUGAGCCCAGUUCCGAGUAUGGAUCUGGGUAUGGCCGAAAGCCAGUGUACGAGACGCCUGAACCCGAGUAUGGAUCUGGGUAUGGCCGAAAGCCCGAGUACGAGACGCCUGAACCCGAGUAUGGAUCUGGGUACGGUCGAAAGCCCGAGUACGAGACGCCUGAACCCGAGUAUGGAUCUGGGUACGGGCGAAAGCCCGAGUACGAGGCUCCCGAAUCUGAGCAUGGAUCUGGGUAUGGGCGAAAGCCUGAGUUCGAAGCACCGGGAGCUGGAUUCGGGUCUGGGUAUGAACGGAAGCCGAGUUAUGGCGAGGAGCCUGGUUAUGGAGAUGAGCCGCCGAGAAAGCCAAGCUAUGGGAGGCCCAGUUAUGAGACCUCAGAAAGUGAGGAGAGGACCAAGUAUGAGAGUUCGGGUUAUGGGAAGACUGAGUUUGAGAGACCUGGUUAUGGCGAAGAGCCGCGGAGGAGGCCUAGUUAUGAGAUCCCAGAAAGCGAGGAGAGGCCCAGCUAUGGGAGGCCUGGCUACGGAGAUGAGCCGCCGCCGCCAAGGCCCAGCUAUGGGAGACCUGGCUACGGAGAUGAGCCGCCACCGCCGAGGCCCAGCUAUGGGAGGCCCAGUUAUGAGGGGGAGGAAAGCGCGGAGUAUGAGAAGCCCAGUUAUGGGAGGAGCGAGGAGCAGGAGUACCGCAGGCCUGGUGGUUAUGAGAGGCGCGGUGAU
rnacentral:lncRNA from 1 species